UACGUAGGGGGCUAGCGUUGUCCGGAAUCAUUGGGCGUAAAGCGCGCGUAGGCGGCCAGAUAAGUCCGGUGUGAAAGUCACAGGCUCAACCUGUGAAUGCCCGCUGGAAAACUGUCUGGCUUGAGUCCGGAAGGGGGCGAGUGGAAAUUCCCUGGUGUAGCGGUGAAAUGCGCAGAUAUCAGGAGGAACACCGAUGGCGAAGGCAGCUCGCUGGGACGGUACUGACGCUGAGACGCGAAAGCGUGGGGAGCAAACAGG
rnacentral:rRNA from 1 species